AUGAGGUUCCAUGCUCAGCUUCUGGGGCUGUUUAUGCUCUGGAUUCCUGUCUCUAGUGGAGAUAUUGUGCUGACCCAGAGUCCACUCACCCUGCCCAUCACACUUGGCGAUUCAGCCACGAUCAACUGCAAGUCAAGUGAGAGCCUUGAAGAUAGUGAUGGAGACACCUAUUUGAACUGGUACCAACAGAAACCAGGCCAAGUUCCACGGCUUCUGAUCUAUGAGGUCUCCAACAGGUUCACUGGGGUCCCAGACAGGUUCAGUGGCAGUGGAUCUGAAAGAGAUUUCACUCUGAAAAUCAGCAGAGUGGAGGCUGAGGAUGUUGCAGUUUAUUACUGUAUGCAAGAUAAAGAAGAUCCUCCCACAGUGAUACAGUCCUGCACAAAAACCUGUGGUUAA